CCGAGUCUUAAUUGGGCGUUAAGUUGCAGGGUAUAGACCCGAAACCCGGUGAUCUAGCCAUGGGCAGGUUGAAGGUUGGGUAACACUAACUGGAGGACCGAACCGACUAAUGUUGAAAAAUUAGCGGAUGACCUGUGGCUGGGGGUGAAAGGCCAAUCAAACCGGGAGAUAGCUGGUUCUCCCCGAAAGCUAUUUAGGUAGCGCCUCGUGAAUUCAUCUCCGGGGGUAGAGCACUGUUUCGGCUAGGGGGCCAUCCCGGCUUACCAACCCGAUGCAAACUGCGAAUACCGGAGAAUGUUAUCACGGGAGACACACGGCGGGUGCUAACGUCCGUCGUGAAGAGGGAAACAACCCAGACCGCCAGCUAAGGUCCCAAAGUCAUGGUUAAGUGGGAAACGAUGUGGGAAGGCCCAGACAGCCAGGAUGUUGGCUUAGAAGCAGCCAUCAUUUAAAGAAAGCGUAAUAGCUCACUGGUCGAGUCGGCCUGCGCGGAAGAUGUAACGGGGCUAAACCAUGCAC
rnacentral:rRNA from 1 species